ACCGAGGCCCACAGGUAGGCUGUGUCCCUCGAUGUCUGGAACACACACUGAGCUCACAGGGUUCUGCCUUCCCAGCACCCUGUUCUAGAUGCUGCCACACAGCACCUGACAAGCUGCUGAAAUGCUGCAUCUACCCGAGCUUCCGCUUCGUUAGCGGCCUGUGCCUCACACCUCGCUCCUCUCUGCCCUGAACAGGGGCAUGGGGAGAGCACCCGCGAAGCUCUGGGUUCCCGACAGCUUCGUUAGAAAUGAAGCCAAAAAGUGCAGGCGCAGAGCGGAGGAAGCCCAGCUCUAAGGGUGACUCAUGGCCACUCGGAUGUCUGUAUCAGAAGACCGACGCCAGAUCCACAGCUGGGCUUUCACACCUGAGGAGGUGGGAGGGGGUUUUGUUUUAAUAAAGUCAUGCUUGAUUAAAU